UCACAUGCUGCGUGUUAAUGUGUGUGCAUU
rnacentral:piRNA from 1 species